UACGUAGGGUCCGAGCGUUGUCCGGAAUUACUGGGCGUAAAGAGCUCGUAGGUGGUUUGUCGCGUUGUUCGUGAAAACUCACAGCUUAACUGUGGGCGUGCGGGCGAUACGGGCAGACUUGAGUACUGCAGGGGAGACUGGAAUUCCUGGUGUAGCGGUAAAAUGCGCAGAUAUCAGGAGGAACACCGGUGGCGAAGGCGGAUCUCUGGGCCAUUACUGACGCUGAGGAGCGAAAGCGUGGGGAGCGAACAGG
rnacentral:rRNA from 1 species